rnacentral:lncRNA from 1 species
CAAAAAAUAAAGAACCCUAUACUUAUACGUUCAAGAGGAAAAGCUAAGAAAGCUAAGGGUGGUUCUUCAUCAUCUAAAAAAGGUAAAGAGAAAAUACUUGAAGAAGUAGUUGGAGAACUAGUUGAAGAACUAGAUGAAGAAGUAGAUGAAGAGACAAAGUGAAGAAGAAGCUGCAACUUUUGAAUGUAAUGACUCAGAUGAAGAAGAAAUUGAAGGAUAUGUUGCUGAGUUUGCAGCUGUGGAGGAUGAUGUUGGGGAGGAGGACGAUAUUUAGAAAAUUAUAUCUUUUGCAUUUUGUAUUUGUGUUAUCCUUUCAUUUUUAGUUGUGAAUGUUGACAAGACUUAUUUGUAUUGUUUGUUACUUUUUAGUGAUCUUUAUGAUACAUUAAUAUUUAAUGGUUUUUAUUAAACUUUAUGUUAUUGUUUGUGUAUUUAUUUAUUUUUUUCCUAUUAUGUUAUAUUUUUUAUUUAUUUUUUCAACCGCCAUGAUGACGUCCGCCAUUUGCCCGCAACACCGUUCGCAACGCCUUCAUGGCUGAAUUUUGGCAGCUGCCAUGGGCAACACUGCUCAUCGGUUAGCCUUCACUGACCUUGCAUUCGUCUGAAGGCAUAACUUGUAAACCAUUGUCAAAACCAAUAUCAUUCUAUUUUGAACCCCUUCAAAAGCUUGAACCCAUCUAGUCUAUCAUAAAUGAGAUUAUCAAAAUUCUCUCCAUCCAUGUAUCACCUACCCGAAAGAACAUACGGGUUUUAUCAAGAUAGAUCUCAUUCACCGAAACCUCUUUAACUAAAAGAAAACGAUAAACCACGAUAACUACCGGAGAGAAUGACUAAAUUGUUAUAGUCAUCGGAGAGAGGGACCGAACCACUAGGUACACCGUUAACUAUAUCUCAUUACCAUCACCGCCCUAGAAGGAAGAGAAGAAGGAGGAUGAAAUAAAAUAAGGAAGAAAGAUAAUGAAAACAAGAACGAAGACGAUGGCUACCUCUUUUUGUAGAGCCACCGCGAUGAUAGAUGGGAACCACCGUCGAGAAUAAGAGCCCGAAUAUGGAACCACUGUCUGGACGUGAACCACCGUAACGCCACCCUUGCCACUACCGCGCCACCUCCUUGGCUACCAUCGUGAACCAAGCUGAGGGAGAGGAGGAUUAGGGAAAAAGAGAAGGUUAGGGAUUUUGAAAUCCAUUUGGGGAUUUUUUGGGUUCUAAGGACCCGUAUGUAACCGCUGUUCCCCUAUAUUUUUGUUAAGUUUGUG